ACUUUAAGUUACUGUAGGGUCUGCUUUAAACUACUUCCAAAGCAGAUGAUAAAGCAAAGGGUGGUGGUUAAUUUGUAGAAAAUAAACAGAAUUGAAGGCGCUAAUGGGAAGACAUGUCAAGAGAAAAGGAUCUAAGGGGACCAGCUCUCGACAGGGUCUACUGAGGCUGGUGUGAAGCUUGGAAUUAUGGCUGUAAGUGUCUCCAUCUGUCUGGGAAGGAAGAGUUCUUUAGUAGUGCAGGAGCACUAAGGUAACUUCUGCCCAGCUGAUGACCCUAGUGCCCAUAUUAACAUGGAACUGACUUGUAGACGAAGCCCCCCUAAAUAGAAUGGCCACCGUGACAGUUCUGGAGAGGACCAGCUAAGGUCAAAAGUGGGUUAUCAUGGAUGUGUGUCGCAGCUCCAGAGGACAGAAAACAAAAGCUGCUCUUUGGCCAUCUCAGGUGACCAAGGGAAAAGACCCGUGAUUCAGUUGCCAGGAUCAUAGCGUCAUAGGAAAGCAGGGAGCUGAAACUCCAAACUCAAAAACUCUACCUCCCUGCAUGAAGGAGGAGUUGAACACCUGGUUGGCCAAGAGUGCAGAAGGUGGGCCCCAGCUCACUGAUGAACUUCGAACAGGAAAUCCCUCCUCCGGAAUUCCCUCCUACCGCACUUCCCCAACCAAUGGGAACUCUCCGGGAGUCCCACCAGAGCUCCAAAGUAGCAGGCCCAGGCAGACAGCAGGGUCUAAUCUCCAGUUGAACGCAGAUCUUAACAUAAUCAUUAUCGUCUCAAGGGCUUGUUGGGGUCACCUUCAACCAAAAAUGCCAUGCGUCAUUCCUACUUGGCUAUGGCUCUCAGCAGACUUUAAGUCCUCUUUUGUCGGAACACAAGUGCUGUUAUUUUCAUAAAGAAAUGCUGAGCCAAUUCGAGAAUGCGAAUCAAAGCUACACUGAGAUUUCGUCUCACUCUAGUCAGAAUGGCAAUCAUCAAGAAUACAAGUAACAACAAGUGUUGACAAGGAUGUGGGGGAAAGGUGCACUCACACAUUGCUGGUGGGACUGAAAAUUGGUGCGACCACUAUGGAAAGCAGCAUGGAGACUCCUAAGAAAACUUGGAAUGGAACCACCAUUUGAUCCAGUUAUUCCACUCCUAGGUCUAUAACAAAAGAACUUAAAAUCAGCAUACUACAGUGAUGCAGCUACAUCAAUGUUUAUAGCAGCUCAAUUCACAAUAGCUAGACUAUGGAAACAACUAAGGUGCCCUUCAGUAGAUGAAUGGCUAAAGAAACUGUGGUACAUAUAUACAAUGGAAUAUUACUCAGCCUUAAAAAAGAAUGAAAUUAUGGCAUUUGCAUGAAAAUGAAUGGAACUGGAGAAUAUUAUACUAAGCAAAAUAAGCCAAUCCCAAAGAAUCAAAGGCUGAAUGUUUUCUCUGAUAUGUGAAUGCUAAUUCACAAUAAGGUGGUGGUGGGGAAGGAAUAGAGGUAUUUUGAACUAAACAGAGAGGAGUGAAGGGAGGGGAGGUGAAGUGGCACCCCCUUUCUUCACUGAAAAAUCAUAAGUCGGCCUCUCCAGAAAUCUUCACCCAGACUGAUUUUAGGUCAGCAAAAGAGUCUCUGCAAAAGAGUUCAAUGUAGAUAAACUUUCUAUUUUCAUGUUGCCCUGUUUACUUGGCCACUGGCUGGGAAGAUACCAGCACUCCAGGUGCUGGACACCCCCUUACUAGUUUUCACAAACAUAUCCAGUAUAGUAGUUUGUAGAAAUGUGCAAACAAGGCCUCUGGCUUUGAGCUGGGGCUUCACAGAGAUGCCUACAUUUUUAAGAUAAGUUACAAUUGGGCUCCAUGGUAACAGCUGGUAGGGGGAGAAAAGAAGGGGAGAAGAAGCUCUCCCCUUCUCAGGUGUGGUCCUUGAAGGGUUAACAUGCUCAGAACAGUGAAAGAAAAAGCUGCUUUUAUGUGAACUUCUGCAGACUCUGAACUUCUGAGCCCCUCCCCUUACAUGCUGGGUAUAAAACUCUGAAACUCCCUGAACUCGGGGUUCAGGGGAUUGAUUGAUUAGAGCAAAAGCUGUGCCCUCUGAGCCUGGCUGCAGCCAAAUAAAAUGUUUCCUGCUGUCUUCGGUGCCUGGCCUCGUCUGUCCCUACAACAGGGAUCAUGGGGGUAGGAAUGACAGUAGAAUGAAUCGAACAUUCUUACCCUAUAUGCAUAUAUGACUACAUGCUGAGUAACUCUACAUCAUGUACAACCAGAUGAAUGAGAAGUUACACUCCAUUUAUGUAUAAUGUGUCAAAAUGAAUUCUACUGUCAUGUAUAACUAAUUAGAACAAAUUUAAAAAAGAAAGAAAGAAAAGCUGAGCGUACGAUUCAUAGAUUCAGAGUUGUUUUGUGUUCCGGUAGUCCAGUAUCUGCCGCCUCCGGUCUGCUGCUUGCUGUCUCUGGUGGACUUUGUUCUCUUGUCUUUCUGCAUUCCUGGUGGGUUUGUCUUGGAGGGAAGACAUGCCACAUUGGAGAGAAGGGACAGGCUGACAGUCCCUUGGAGUGGGGUGUAUCUGGCCAGUGGCUAGGCUGUUGCCUGUUGUAGCCGUAGGCGUCAGAGGCUAGUUUCCUGAGUGCCCUUGUUUUUGUCUCCCACUAGUAUUAAGUUCUCUUAGAUUCCUUCUGAGAGGAGGCUGAGAAGAACUGUGAGGGCUGCAUCCCAGCACCUGUGAUGCCAGAUUCGUGGGACCCCAGUAGACCUCCAGGAGCCGAAUCCGAUGCAAUCACACAAGAGUCUUUACUGCAAGCUCGAGCCUGGACUCACAACUAUUCCCGAUGCAGCAGUGCCAGGGAGUGAAUCCUGGUCCUUUGUUCAGUGAGAUUUUAUAGGUUUUGGGGGGAUACUCUAUGCAUCACAACAUCACACAGCAAAUCAUUCCAUACCGCGGGAAAGUCAAACAACAACUCUUAACAUUGAUUAGCACAUUCACUGGCGGGAACAAGUUGGGUAGGGAUGAGAGCGGGAUUCCUUUGAACUGACUGGUUUAGGCCACGAGGGGCGUACGUGCUGAACUACAUGGUUUCCCAACACGUUAUCAACCACCAUAAACUACUGGGGGGUCAUCUGGCAUC
rnacentral:lncRNA from 1 species